CCUCCGUCAAUAUCCCAAUCCCAUGCAUCAGAUAAUAACAACAUGGCAUGCAGUAAAUAACAACAGUCAAACAUGUAUUUAGGUCAAUUUAACCCUAGGGGUAUUUCGGUAAUUUAUCUACUAGGGGUAAAACUGUAAAUUUUCCACUUUUAAAGGUAUUUCAGUAAUUUAUCUAUUUUAGGGUUUUCAUGCAUAUUCCUACCUUUCACGUACUACAGAAUCACAUACCGAGGGUUCUUACCGAAUUGAGCCC
rnacentral:lncRNA from 1 species